ACUCCUACGGGAGGCAGCAGUGGGGAAUAUUGCACAAUGGGGGAAACCCUGAUGCAGCGACGCCGCGUGAAGGAAGAAGUAUCUCGGUAUGUAAACUUCUAUCAGCAGGGAAGAUAGUGACGGUAC
rnacentral:rRNA from 1 species